GUGGUGUCAGAAUCCGCAGCUCCCAUCCCCCAGCUCUGCAAUACUAGAGGAGGCUGGAUUCCACAUCUCUGAAGUCCCACCGGACUGGUGCGAUGGGGCUCACGAGUCCAGGGCUGCUCUGCAGGCUGUGGGGCUCACCUCCAGCUCGGAGCCCACCUGGUGUGCUCAAGUUGCUCACCUUUGGGCCUGUCCUGCCUCUCAGGCAUUCAGCUGACCCCGAGGGACUCUCCCUCAUCUUGACCACCAGUUACGGGCUCUAAGUUAGAGGUUCCCAGAACCUUAGACCAUUUGGCCAAACCCUCCAUUUCUCAGCUGGGGAAACUGAAACCAAAGAGGAGAAGCAACUUUCUCAAGGACCCCCAGCAAGUCAGAGGCAGAACUGGGUCUAGCAGCCUCCUCCCGACAGAGGGCCUCCCUGACCCCUGAGCCUUUACUGCCUCGUUAACUUCCCUAUAAGGAGACUGCUCUGCCGAGGCUGGAAAUGGAAAUGCUCUCCGUGGCGGUGUGUGCCCGUGACUGCGCCCGUGUUUGUACUUAAAGCAUGCCCUCUCCCUCUCCCUCUCCCUCUCCCUCUCCCUCUCCCUCUCCCCCUCCCCCUCCCCUCUUUCCACGGUCUCCCUCUGAUGCAGAGCCGAAGCUGGACUGUACUGCUGCCAUCUCGGCUCACUGCAACCUCCCUGCCUGAUUCUCCUGCCUCAGCCUGCUGAGUGCCUGCAAUUGCAGGCGCGCGCCGCCACGCCUGACUGGUUUUCGUAUUUUUUGGGUGGAGACGGGGUUUCGUUGUGUUGGCCGGGCUGGUCUCCAGCUCCUGACCGCGAGUGAUCCGCCAGCCUCGGCCUCCCGAGGUGCCGGGAUUGCAGACGGAGUCUCCUUCACUCAGUGCUCAAUGGUGCCCAGGCUGGAGUGCAGUGGCAUGAUCUCGGCUCGCUACAACAUCCACCUCCCAGCAGCCUGCCUUGGCCUCCCAAAGUGCCGAGAUUGCAGCCUCUGCCCGGCCGCCACCCCGUCUGGGAAGUGAGGAGCAUCUCUGCCUGGCCGCCCAUCGUCUGGGAUGUGAGGAGCCCCUCUGCCUGGCUGCCCAGUCUGGAAAGUGAGGAGCGUCUCUGCCAGGCCGCCAUCCCAUCUAGGAAGUGAGGAGCGUCUCUGCCCGGCCACCCAUCAUCUGAGAUGUGGGGAGCGCCUCUGCCCUGUCGCCCCGUCCGGGAUGUGAGGAGCGUCUCUGCCCGGCCGCCCCGUCUGAGAAGUGAGGAGACCCUCUGCCUGGCAACCGCCCUGUCUGAGAAGUGAGGAGCCCCUCCGCCCAGCAGCCGCCCCGUCUGAGAAGUGAGGAGCCCCUCCGCCCGGCAGCCACCCCGUCUGGGAAGUGAGGAGCGUCUCCGCCCGGCAGCCACCCCGUCCAGGAGGGAGGUGGGGGGGUCAGCCCCCCGCCCGGCCAGCCGCCCCGUCCGGGAGGGAGGUGGGGGGAUCAGCCCCCCGCCCGGCCAGCCGCCCCCUCCGGGAGGUGAGGGGCGCCUCUGCCCGGCCACCCCUACUGGGAAGUGAGCCCCUCUGCCUGGCCAGCCGCCCCGUCCGGGAGGGAGAUGGGGGGGUCAGCCCCCCGCCCGGCCAGUCGCCCCGUCCGGGAGGUGAGGGGUGCCUCUGCCCGGCCGCCCCUACUGGGAAGUGAGGAGCCCCUCUGCCCGGCCACCACCCCGUCUGGGAGGUGUACCCAACAGCUCAUUGAGAACGGGCCGGGAUGACAAUGGCGGUUUUGUGGAAUAGAAAGGGGGGAAAGGUGGGGAAAAGAUUGAGAAAUCGGAUGGUUGCUGUGUCUGUGUAGAAAGAGGUAGACAUGGGAGACUUUUCAUUUUGUUCUGUACUAAGAAAAAUUCUUCUGCCUUGGGAUCCUGUUGAUCGGUGACCUUACCCCCAACCCUGUGCUCUCUGAAACAUGUGCUAUGUCCACUCAGGGUUAAAUGGAUUAAGGGCGGUGCAAGAUGUGCUUUGUUAAACAGACGCUUGAAGGCAGCAUGCUCGUUAAGAGUCAUCACCACUCCCUAAUCUCAAGUACCCAGGGACACAAACACUGCGGAAGGCCGCAGGGUCCUCUGCCUAGGAAAACCAGAGACCUUUGUUCACUUGUUUAUCUGCUGACCUUCCCUCCACUAUUGUCCUGUGGCCCUGCCAAAUCCCCCUCUGCGAGAAACACCCAAGAAUGAUCAAUAAAAAAAAAAAAAUAAAUAAAUAAAUAAAUCAUAUCAAAGUAAAAAGUUUCCAAAAAAAAUAAAAAGUUUCAAAAAAAAAGAAAGCAUGUUUGAGAUCUAGAACAGAAUAAUGGGUAGUAGAGGGAGGUAUUGAGGAUAGGAGAGUAUAUGGGUUUGGCACCACGGGGUGGAUAGGCAAAACAAUUUGGUUGAUAAGGCGCAGAUCCUGAACUAAUCUGUAAGACUUGUUCUGUUUUUGGACAGGUAAAAUUGGGGAAUUGUAAGGAGAGUUUAUAGGUUUUAGAAGCCUAUGCUGUAGCAGGCGAGUGAUAACAGGCUUUAAUCCUUUUAAAGUGUGCUGUGGGAUGGGAUAUUGGCAUUGAGUGGGGUAAGGGUGAUUAGGUUUUAAAGAGAUGGUAAGGGGUGCAUGAUCGGUCACCAAGGAGGGAGUAGGGGUAUCUUAUAGUUGUGGGUUAAGGUCGGGGAAUACAAGAGGAGGACGCAAAGAAGGCUUUGGAUUGGGAAGAAAGGUGGCAAUGAGAUGUAGCUGUAAUCCCGGAAUAGUCAGGGAAGCAGAUAAUUUAGUUAAAGUGUCUCGGCCUAAUAAGGGAACUGGGCAGGUGGGGAUAACUAAAAGGAGUGCUUAAAAGAGUAUUGUCUCAGCUGGCACCAGAGUUGGGGAGUUUUAAGAGGUUUAGAAGCCUGGCCGUCAAUACCCACAACAGUUAUGGAAGCAAGGGAAACAGGCCCUUGAAAAGAAGGUAAUGUGGAGUGGGUAGCUUCCAUAUUGAUUAAGAAGGGGAUGGACUUACCUUCCACUGUGAGUUACUGGAAGCUCGGCACCUGUGAUGGUCUAGGGGGCUUCCGAGGUGAUUGGGCAGCGUCAGUCUUCAGCCGCUAAGCCGAGAAGAUCUGGGAAGGAGUCAGAGAGCCUUGGGCCAGAGUUCCAGGGGCUGUGGGAGUGGCUGCCAGGUGAGUUGAACAGUCCAAUUUUCAGUGGGGUCCUGCACAGAUGGGACGCGGCUUAGGAGGAAUCCCAGGCUGCGGGCAUUCCUUGGCCCAGUGGCCAGAUUUCCGGCAUGUGUAGCAAGCUCCUGGGGGAGGAGGUUCUGGAGGAACGCCUGGCUGCUGCAGUUCAGGCAUUUGGAAGUUCUUGUGUGCUGGAGAUGUGGCUGGGGUUUGUCUCACAGUGGAGGCAAGGAAUUGCAACUUUUUUCUAUUAUUGUACACCUUGAAGGCGAGGUUAAUUAAAUCCUGUUGUGGGGUUUGAGGGCCGGAAUUUAAUUUUUGGAGUUUAUUUAAUGUCGGGAGCAGAUUGGGUAAUAAAAUGUAUAUUGAGAAUAAGACGGCCUUUUGACCUUUUAGGGUCUAGGGCUGUAAAGCGUCUCAGGGUUGCUGCUGAAUGAGCCAUGAACUGGGCUGGGUUUUUUAUGUUUGAUGAAAAAGAGCCUAAACACUAUCUGAUUUGGGAUAAAGAAAAAGGAGCAUUAACCUUGACUAUGGCUUUAGCUCCAGCCACCUUUUUAAGAGUAAAUUGCUGGGCAGGUGGGGGAGGGCUAGUCACGGAACGAAACUGUAAACCAGACUGGGUGUGAGGAGGGGAGGUGAUAAAAGGAUUAUAGGGUGGAGGAGCGGAGGCUGAGGAAGAAUUGGGACCUAGCUCGGCCUGGCGAGGAGGGGAGAGGUCAGAAGAGUCUGUAGAAAAGGAAGAUUAGAAAGACUCAGCGACGCUUGGGGUUGGGACUGAGGGGACAGGCAGGAGGGAAAGAAGGAAGAUUUGGGAUGAGUUGCAUUGGAACAGAGACUAGAGAGGGACUGAUGUGUAAAAGAAUGCCUGGACUUCAGGCACCUCAGACCGUUUGCCUAUUUUACGAGAAGAAUUAUUUAGAUCUUGCAGGAUGGAAAAAUUCAAAGUGCAGUUUUCUGGCUAUUUGGGACUACUGUCGAGUUUGUAUUGGGGUCAAGCGGCAUUGCAGAAGAAAAUAAGGCAUUUAGGUUUUAGGUCAGGUGAAAGUUGAAGAGGUUUUAAGUUCUUAAGAACACAGGCUAAGGGAGAAGAAAGAGGAAUGGAAGGUGGAAGCUUACCCAUCGUGAAGGAGGCAAGCCCAGAGAAAAGAGUAGAGACACGGAGAAGGGGUGGGGGUUUCUUGCCCUCCAGAAAAGCAGAGAAGGGGUUGGGGUGCAGAGAUACGAGGUCAGGGUGCAGAAAUAAGGGAUCGGGGUGCAGAGAUACGAGGUUGGGGUACUUGCCUCUCCCCCAGAAAAGCAGAGAAGGGAUAGAGACACAGAGAGAAGGGGUUGGAGUACUUGCCCCUCCCCCAGAAAAGUGGGACUUGCCGCUGAGGGUGAAGGAGAAGGAGUUGAGGGGUUCUUGCCCCUGCCCCAGAAAAUCAGAGAAGGGGUAGAGACAAGGAGAGAAGGGGUUGGGGUACUUGCCUCUUCCCCAGAAAAGCGGGACUUGCCACUAAGGGUGAAGGAGAAGGGGUUGAGGGGUUCUUUCCCCUGCCCCAGAAAAUCAGAGAAGGGGUAUAGACAUGGAGAGAAGGGGUUGGGGUACUUGCCCCUUCCCCAGAAAAGCAGAGAAGGGGUAGAGACAAGGAGAGAAGGGGUUGGGGUACUUGCCCCUUCCCCAGAAAAGCAGGACUUGCCACUAAGGGUGAAGGAGAAGGGAUUGAGGGGUACUUGCCCCUCCCCCAGAAAAGCAGAGAAGGGGUAGAGACACGGAGAGAAGGAAAUAUGGGGAAAUGGGGUGAAUAUCAGGUGGAUCAGAGAGAUACAGUCAUGGGGGUCAGGUGUGGUAUCAGGAAUAAUGUGGGAGGCCAGAUUGAAGUCCGGGCCAGGAACAAUAGUAAUUGUGGGACUUAACAAAGAGUGAGUACAGCUGAAGGAGCCGGGGAGCAGAAAGUAUAUGCGUCAGGUAUGAGGAAGAAAAUAGAUUUUGGAAGUUAUGAGAAAUGUAGAGAGUGAGUUGAGCAUAGUUUGUGAUUUUUAGGGCCUCUAAAAGUAUUAAAGCAGUGGCAGCCACUGCAUGCAGACAUGAGGGUUAGGCUAAAACAGUAAGGUCAAGUUGUUUGGACAGAAAGGCUACAGGGUGCGGUCCUGGUCCGAGUCACGGCACCAAAUUUCAUGUGCGUCCUUGUGAAGAGACCACCAAACAGGCUUUGUGUGAGCAACAUAGCUGUUUAUUUCACCUGGGUGCAGGUGGGCUGAGUCCGAAAAGAGAGUCAGUGAAGGGAGAUGGAUUAUCAUUAGUUCUUAUAGGUUUUGGGUUAGGCGG
rnacentral:lncRNA from 10 species